rnacentral:rRNA from 1 species
UACGUAGGGUGCAAGCGUUAAUCGGAAUUACUGGGCGUAAAGCGCGCGUAGGCGGCUUUGUAAGUUAGAGGUGAAAGCCCGGGGCUCAACCCCGGAAUUGCCUUUAAGACUGCAUCGCUUGAAUCCGGGAGAGGUGAGUGGAAUUCCGAGUGUAGAGGUGAAAUUCGUAGAUAUUCGGAAGAGCACCAGUGGCGAAGGCGGCUCACUGGACCGGCAUUGACGCUGAGGUGCGAAAGCGUGGGGAGCAAACAGG